UUUACCAAAAACAUAGCCUUUAGACUAUACAACUAUUAAAGGUACCGCCUGCCCAGUGAGGGCAUAAAGCCCUUAAACGGCCGCGUAUAUAAACGUGCAAAGGUAGCAAAAUCAUUUGUCCUCUAAAUAGGGACCCGUAUGAAAGGCAACAUGAGAAAGAAACUGUCUCUUUAAGUCGGCCAAUGAACCUGAACUGCCUGUACAAACGCAGGCAUAAAAAAACAAGACAAAAAGACCCUGUGAAACUUAAAAUGUCAAACAACUAUAUGACCAAGACAUUUUCGGUUGGGGCAACCAAAGAGAAACAAAACCCUCACAAUAGGAUUUCAAGGCAAACAAGCCAACCAACACUAACCAUAGACCCAGCACCGCUGAUUAAAGAACCAAGCUACUCCAGGGAUAACAGCGCUACAUUCUUAAAGAGUCCAUAUCAACAAGAAUACCUACGACCUCGAUGUUGGAUUAGGGUACCCCGAUGGCGCAAAAGCUAUCAAUGGUUCGUUUGUUCAACGAUUAAAACCCCACAUGAUCUGAGUUCAGACCGGAG
rnacentral:rRNA from 1 species